rnacentral:rRNA from 1 species
UCCCCUAGUAACUGCGAGUGAAGCGGGAAAAGCUCAAAUUUGAAAUCUGGCAGUCUUUUUUUUCUUCUUUGGCUGUCCGAGUUGUAAUCUAGAGAAGUGCUUACCUGCGCUGGACCAUGUAUAAGUCUCCUGGAAUGGAGCGUCACAGAGGGUGAGAAUCCCGUCUUUGACAUGGACUGCCAGUGUGUUGUGGUGUGCUCUCAAAGAGUCGAGUUGUUUGGGAAUGCAGCUCUAAAUGGGUGGUAAACUCCAUCUAAAGCUAAAUAUUGGCGAGAGACCGAUAGUGAACAAGUACCGUGAGGGAAAGAUGAAAAGGACUUUGGAAAGAGAGUUAAACAGUAUGUGAAAUUGUUGAAAGGGAAACGCUUGAAGUCAGUUAUGUUGACUAGGGAUCAACCUAGCUAUUUUUUUUUUGCUGGGUGAAUUUCCUAGUCUGACAGGCCAACAUCAGUCUUGACUGCUGGAAAAGAGCAGAGGGAAUGUGGCACCUUUGGGUGUGUUUAUAGCCCUUUGUCAUAUGUGGCAGUUGGGACUGAGGGAUGCAGCAUGCCGUGAGGCUGGGUUUUUGACCACGUUCAUGCUUAGGAUGUUGGCUUUUAAUGGCUUCAAUCGACCCGUCUUGAAACACGGACCAAGGAGUCUAACAUGCCUGCGAGUGUUUGGGUGGGGAAAACCCUUGUGCACAAUGAAAGUGAAAGUUGAGAUCCCUGUCAUGGGGAGCAUCGACGCCCGGACCUGAGCUUUUAGCGACGGAUCCGCGGUAGAGCAUGCAUGUUGGGACCCGAAAGAUGGUGAACUAUGCCUGAAUAGGGCAAAGCCAGAGGAAACUCUGGUGGAGGCUCGUAGCGAUUCUGACGUGCAAAUCGAUCGUCAAAUUUGGGUAUAGGGGCGAAAGACUAAUCGAACCAUCUAGUAGCUGGUUCCUGCCGAAGUUUCCCUCAGGAUAGCAGAAGCUUAUUAUCAGAUUUAUGUGGUAAAGCGAAUGAUUAGAGGCCUUGGGGUUGAAACAACCUUAACCUAUUCUCAAACUUUAAAUAUGUAAGAACGAGCUGUCACUUGACUGGACUGCUCGGUGAUUGAGAGCUUCUAGUGGGCCAUUUUUGGUAAGCAGAACUGGCGAUGCGGGAUGAACCGAUCGCAAGGUUAAGGUGCCAGAGUUCACGCUCAUCAGACACCACAAAAGGUGUUAGUUCAUCUAGACAGCAGGACGGUGGCCAUGGAAGUCGGAACCCGCUAAGGAGUGUGUAACAACUCACCUGCCGAAUGAACUAGCCCUGAAAAUGGAUGGCGCUUAAGCGUGACACCCAUACCUUGCU